rnacentral:lncRNA from 1 species
GCAGGUGUCUCACAUGGCAGGAGCAAGAGAGAGAAGGGGGAGGUGCCCCACUUCCAGUUUGUUUCACUGUUUUGUUGAGAAGCUCUUUUUUAAGCUUUUUGAAUCAAGUGCUUAGUGUUUACUUCAAUACAUUAUUGAAGUCUAUGAACUUUUCUGUGAGUACAGCUUUGGCCAUAUCAAAUUCGAUACAGAGUUUUCCUAUAAAGGUUAUUUUUCUGACAGAGGCCCCCAGAUGGUGUCACAGGGCCCAGCAGGUGGGAGGCCCUCUGCCUACGCCACUCAUUGGUGGUGAGGCUUGUGGGCAGUUUUGCAGGGGCUAGAAUGCAGCACGGGCCCCUUGGACCCUGGCCUGAUUUCCCCCACCCCACCUCGCUGCCCUGCGCUUGCAGCCUAACCUGCAAAUGCAGCAGGGGCAGCUCCUCCUGGGUCAGGCCCUGUCCAUCCCACAGGCCUGGCUGGCUCCCCCUGCUGUCACCUCACACCAUUCUCCUUCUCCGGAGCCCUGUGCUGGUUGCCCUGGGUAGCACAUCAGACAGGGUUCCAAUCCCAGCUCCACCAGUUUCCCAGACUGGCGCUGGUGACUGAGGCCCUUUGGGCCUCUGUUCCUUCAUCUGGAGAAGGGGGGAGCAGCAGGAGGGCCACCCUGGGGAGGCAUGGAGACGGCUGUGUCUG